CAUAGGUUAAUGAGGCGAACCGGGGGAACUGAAACAUCUAAGUACCCCGAGGAAAAGAAAUCAACCGAGAUUCCCCCAGUAGCGGCGAGCGAACGGGGAGCAGCCCAGAGCCUGAAUCAGUGUGUGUGUUAGUGGAAGCGUCUGGAAAGGCGCGCGAUACAGGGUGACAGCCCCGUACACAAAAAUGCACAUGCUGUGAGCUCGAUGAGUAGGGCGGGACACGUGGUAUCCUGUCUGAAUAUGGGGGGACCAUCCUCCAAGGCUAAAUACUCCUGACUGACCGAUAGUGAACCAGUACCGUGAGGGAAAGGCGAAAAGAACCCCGGCGAGGGGAGUGAAAAAGAACCUGAAACCGUGUACGUACAAGCAGUGGGAGCACGCUUCGGCGUGUGACUGCGUACCUUUUGUAUAAUGGGUCAGCGACUUAUAUUCUGUAGCAAGGUUAACCGAAUAGGGGAGCCGAAGGGAAACCGAGUCUUAACUGGGCGUUAAGUUGCAGGGUAUAGACCCGAAACCCGGUGAUCUAGCCAUGGGCAGGUUGAAGGUUGGGUAACACUAACUGGAGGACCGAACCGACUAAUGUUGAAAAAUUAGCGGAUGACUUGUGGCUGGGGGUGAAAGGCCAAUCAAACCGGGAGAUAGCUGGUUCUCCCCGAAAGCUAUUUAGGUAGCGCCUCGUGAAUUCAUCUCCGGGGGUAGAGCACUGUUUCGGCAAGGGGGUCAUCCCGACUUACCAACCCGAUGCAAACUGCGAAUACCGGAGAAUGUUAUCACGGGAGACACACGGCGGGUGCUAACGUCCGUCGUGAAGAGGGAAACAACCCAGACCGCCAGCUAAGGUCCCAAAGUCAUGGUUAAGUGGGAAACGAUGUGGGAAGGCCCAGACAGCCAGGAUGUUGGCUUAGAAGCAGCCAUCAUUUAAAGAAAGCGUAAUAGCUCACUGGUCGAGUCGGCCUGCGCGGAAGAUGUAACGGGGCUAAACCAUGCACCGAAGCUGCGGCAGCGACGCUUAUGCGUUGUUGGGUAGGGGAGCGUUCUGUAAGCCUGUGAAGGUGUGCUGUGAGGCAUGCUGGAGGUAUCAGAAGUGCGAAUGCUGACAUAAGUAACGAUAAAGCGGGUGAAAAGCCCGCUCGCCGGAAGACCAAGGGUUCCUGUCCAACGUUAAUCGGGGCAGGGUGAGUCGACCCCUAAGGCGAGGCCGAAAGGCGUAGUCGAUGGGAAACAGGUUAAUAUUCCUGUACUUGGUGUUACUGCGAAGGGGGGACGGAGAAGGCUAUGUUGGCCGGGCGACGGUUGUCCCGGUUUAAGCGUGUAGGCUGGUUUUCCAGGCAAAUCCGGAAAAUCAAGGCUGAGGCGUGAUGACGAGGCACUACGGUGCUGAAGCAACAAAUGCCCUGCUUCCAGGAAAAGCCUCUAAGCAUCAGGUAACAUCAAAUCGUACCCCAAACCGACACAGGUGGUCAGGUAGAGAAUACCAAGGCGCUUGAGAGAACUCGGGUGAAGGAACUAGGCAAAAUGGUGCCGUAACUUCGGGAGAAGGCACGCUGAUAUGUAGGUGAGGUCCCUCGCGGAUGGAGCUGAAAUCAGUCGAAGAUACCAGCUGGCUGCAACUGUUUAUUAAAAACACAGCACUGUGCAAACACGAAAGUGGACGUAUACGGUGUGACGCCUGCCCGGUGCCGGAAGGUUAAUUGAUGGGGUUAGCGGUAACGCGAAGCUCUUGAUCGAAGCCCCGGUAAACGGCGGCCGUAACUAUAACGGUCCUAAGGUAGCGAAAUUCCUUGUCGGGUAAGUUCCGACCUGCACGAAUGGCGUAAUGAUGGCCAGGCUGUCUCCACCCGAGACUCAGUGAAAUUGAACUCGCUGUGAAGAUGCAGUGUACCCGCGGCAAGACGGAAAGACCCCGUGAACCUUUACUAUAGCUUGACACUGAACAUUGAGCCUUGAUGUGUAGGAUAGGUGGGAGGCUUUGAAGUGUGGACGCCAGUCUGCAUGGAGCCGACCUUGAAAUACCACCCUUUAAUGUUUGAUGUUCUAACGUUGACCCGUAAUCCGGGUUGCGGACAGUGUCUGGUGGGUAGUUUGACUGGGGCGGUCUCCUCCUAAAGAGUAACGGAGGAGCACGAAGGUUGGCUAAUCCUGGUCGGACAUCAGGAGGUUAGUGCAAUGGCAUAAGCCAGCUUGACUGCGAGCGUGACGGCGCGAGCAGGUGCGAAAGCAGGUCAUAGUGAUCCGGUGGUUCUGAAUGGAAGGGCCAUCGCUCAACGGAUAAAAGGUACUCCGGGGAUAACAGGCUGAUACCGCCCAAGAGUUCAUAUCGACGGCGGUGUUUGGCACCUCGAUGUCGGCUCAUCACAUCCUGGGGCUGAAGUAGGUCCCAAGGGUAUGGCUGUUCGCCAUUUAAAGUGGUACGCGAGCUGGGUUUAGAACGUCGUGAGACAGUUCGGUCCCUAUCUGCCGUGGGCGCUGGAGAACUGAGGGGGGCUGCUCCUAGUACGAGAGGACCGGAGUGGACGCAUCACUGGUGUUCGGGUUGUCAUGCCAAUGGCACUGCCCGGUAGCUAAAUGCGGAAGAGAUAAGUGCUGAAAGCAUCUAAGCACGAAACUUGCCCCGAGAUGAGUUCUCCCUGACUCCUUGAGAGUCCUGAAGGAACGUUGAAGACGACGACGUUGAUAGGCCGGGUGUGUAAGCGCAGCGAUGCGUUGAGCUAACCGGUACUAAUGAACCGUGAGG
rnacentral:rRNA from 1 species